GACGAACGCUGGCGGCGUGCUUAACACAUGCAAGUCGAACGGAAAGGCCCUGCUUUUGUGGGGUGCUCGAGUGGCGAACGGGUGAGUAACACGUGAGUAACCUGCCCUUGACUUUGGGAUAACUUCAGGAAACUGGGGCUAAUACCGGAUAGGAGCUCCUGCUGCAUGGUGGGGGUUGGAAAGUUUCGGCGGUUGGGGAUGGACUCGCGGCUUAUCAGCUUGUUGGUGGGGUAGUGGCUUACCAAGGCUUUGACGGGUAGCCGGCCUGAGAGGGUGACCGGCCACAUUGGGACUGAGGUACGGCCCAGACGCCUACGGGAGGCAGCAGUGGGGAAUAUUGCACAAUGGGCGGAAGCCUGAUGCAGCAACGCCGCGUGCGGGAUGACGGCCUUCGGGUUGUAAACCGCUUUCGCCUGUGACGAAGAGUGAGUGACGGUAAUGGGUAAAGAAGCACCGGCUAACUACGUG
rnacentral:rRNA from 1 species